UCUUCCCUCUGGCGGCGUGCCUAAUACAUGCAAGUCGAGCGAACAGAUGAGGAGCUUGCUCCUCUGACGUUAGCGGCGGACGGGUGAGUAACACGUGGAUAACCUACCUAUAAGACUGGGAUAACUUCGGGAAACCGGAGCUAAUACCGGAUAAUAUAUUGAACCGCAUGGUUCAAUAGUGAAAGACGGUUUUGCUGUCACUUAUAGAUGGAUCCGCGCCGCAUUAGCUAGUUGGUAAGGUAACGGCUUACCAAGGCAACGAUGCGUAGCCGACCUGAGAGGGUGAUCGGCCACACUGGAACUGAGACACGGUCCAGACUCCUACGGGAGGCAGCAGUAGGGAAUCUUCCGCAAAGGGCGAAAGCCUGACGGAGCAACGCCGCGUGAGUGAUGAAGGUCUUCGGAUCGUAAAACUCUGUUAUUAGGGAAGAACAAAUGUGUAAGUAACUAUGCACGUCUUGACGGUACCUAAUCAGAAAGCCACGGCUAACUACGUG
rnacentral:rRNA from 1 species